rnacentral:rRNA from 1 species
GAUGAACGCUUGCGGCAGGCUUAAUACAUGCAAGUCGAACGGUAACAGGCCUUCGGGUGCUGACGAGUGGCGGAUGGGUGAGUAACGCGUAUGCAACCUACCUCGUGUCGAGAAAAAGUCGACUGAAAAGUCGAUUAAAGUUUCGUAGUGUACAGGCUACGCAUGUAGUUUGUAUGAUAGACGCAAGUUGGCGCGAGAUGGGCAUGCGUAUCAUUAGCUAGUUGGUAGGGUAACGGCCUACCAAGGCGACGAUGAUUAGGGGUCCUGAGAGGGAGGUCCCCCACACUGGGACUGAGACACGGCCCAGACUCCUACGGGAGGCAGCAGUAGGGAAUAUUGGUCAAUGGGCGGAAGCCUGAACCAGCCAUGCCGCGUGAUGGACGACGGCCUUCGGGUUGUAAACAUCUUUUCUGCUAGAGGAAUAUAGCUUAUGUAUAGGCAGAUGACUGUAUAGCAGGAAUAAGGAUCGGCUAACUCCGUGCCAGCAGCCGCGGUAAUACGGAGGAUCCGAGCGUUAUCCGGAUUUACUGGGUUUAAAGGGUGCGCAGGCGGGCUCUUAAGUCAGUGGUGAAAAGCCUAGGCUUACCCUAGGUCGUGCCAUUGAUACUGGGAGUCUUGGAUAAGUAUAAGGAAGGCGGAAUGCGUAGUGUAGCGGUGAAAUGCUUAGAUAUUACGUAGAAGACCGAUUGCGAAGGCAGCUUUCUGGGUCUUAAUCGACGCUCAAGCACGAAAGCGUGGGUAGCGAACAGGAUUAGAUACCCUGGUAGUCCACGCCGUAAAACGAUGAUCACUCGCUCUUGGCGAUAUGCUGUCAGGGGCCAAGCGAAAGCGUUAAGUGAUCCACCUGGGGAGUACCGCCGCAAGGCUGAAACCUCAAAGGAAAUUGACGCGGGGCCCCGCACAAAGCG